UAAACUCCCAUGGGAUAAAUGCUCUCAUUUGGUGCUCAGGACAGCUCAGGACAGUAAAGACAGAUGGUCUCCCCAUGGAAAAGGCUUGGCCCCUGAGGCUCAGGGAGGCUGAGUGACAGGCUGCAUGUCACAGAGCUAAGAAGUAUGGUAGUAGGGAAUGGGCCAGUAGUUUCCAGGUUUCCUGCCCCAGCGAUCCUGGUAUCAUCCCACACCAUGCUCAGGUCUUUAGCUACUUUAUCUCUGAAUCCAAAGCAUGCACUCAUAGGCACUCCAGAGGUCCAUGUAAGUAUCAUUUUUCUCUCCGAAGAAGCCUGUCUUUUUUCUUCAAGGAAUAAAUUCAGAGCUUGAGACAAUUGGUCCGGUUCUUUCUCUCUUUCAGUAAACGUGGAAAUGCAUCCUUUAAAACAUGCACCUCCCGCCCUUGAAAAUACAAGUGUGUUUCCUUCCCCUGUAACCCUGCAACAGAGAAUUUGGUCACAGGUCUGUUUUAUGACUUGAUUUUUCUAAAACAAUGAACAGGACUGGGAAAACUUCCUUCAGAGUCCCCAGUGGCCUAACCUUAUCCUUUGUCCCCCAGACCUAACUCUCUCUUUACACAGUUGGACUGGAGUCAAUUCUAAACUUCUUGGGAGACAACCUUCUGUUCAGAUUCCCACUGACCCUAAGACUUAUUACACCACUCUUUUCCCCUCAAACCUGAUUCUCUUGUUCUUCAAUUCCUUCUUUUGAUCAAUGGCACCAUUUAUAAGUAAAAGUCUGAGGAAUGACUCCUCCUUCUUCCUCCCAUAGCAAGCAGACUGUAAAAUGACCCCCAAUGAUCCUCACCUCCUGAUGUUCCCACUCUGGUAUAAUCCCCUCCUGUGAGUGUGGGCAGGACAUGUGAUUUGCUUCUAACCCAUGGGAUAUAGCAAAGGUGAUGAAAUGUCACUGCUAUGAUUCAGGUCCAUAUGAUUGUGACUUCUGUCUUGCUAGAAGGCUUUCUCCUUCUUACUGACUUAGACAAAGCAAGCUGCUAUGGUGGGGAGGCCCAGAUGGAGAGAUGCUGAGGGCAGCCACUGACUAGUAGCUGGCAAGGAAUUGAGGCCCUCAGCGCAACUGAAUUCCGAUAACCAAUGACCAUGUGAGCUUGGAAGUGGAUGCUUCUCCAGUUGAGCCUUCAGAUAAGAUCUGAGCCCUGGCUGAUAAGCUGAGAGCUCUUGUAUCUCUAUGUUUUUCUGUACUCCGUCUGCCUCUGCUUUGUGUCAGUCCUCAUUUGGAUAAAACAACUGCCCCCAUAUCAAUCAGGGUCCCAGCAGGGAGCCAACAGGUACUCCCAAAGGAUUUAACUGAGGAGUGGUAUGGACGGGGUUGAAGGACUGGUAACAACAGGACACCAUUAUCAUCCCAGGCCUAAAAGGCCAGGAGGAGUGAAUCGUGAUGCCAGAGGUUGAUGAAAGCAGGAAUACAAAAAGAGUUGUCUGGCCAGAGCUGUGACUGUAGGUAGAGAAAGAACACAGCUGCUGUCUGAACUGCGGACAGGUUGUCUCCCAGGGGAGUUAAUUUGCCCACACGGCUGGUUGUUCUGGCAUCAGAGCAAGCCCUGUGGAGUGAGAAAGUCCCCAGGAGGAGCAGCAAAGAGUGACAGGCACCUGAGUUGUCACAAGCUGAAGCUGUCUUCCCAGCUGUAGAAAAUAGCUGUGGCACUACCCACCCCCUACUGCCAUCAUUAAGAGCACAUGGGCUCCGUGUCUACCUCUGUCCUGAGCCAAUGUUCAGGACAACGUCCAGGACUGUGGCCCUGGAAUUUCCAAUGUGCUCUGGGACCAAGAUUGUCUGGAUUAUAACAAAUUUUGGCACAAGUGUGUUGAAAACACAUGAAAGUAAACCAAAGGGAUAAAAAUGGUGAGUUCUGUACAAUUCAUUCAUUUGUUCAUUCAUUCAUUCAUUCAUUCAUAAAUUUACUCAAAUAUUACUGAUCCAGCAACACAUUUCUAGACUCACGGUAGGUCCUUAGUGUUUGUGGGAUUGCCCAGACAGGGACAGGUACAGAAGUAUGUCCCCCAGGGCUACUGAGAGCCAGGUGGGGAAGACUGGUGUACUCCACUCUUGUUUUCCUCCCACUCAACUCAAGGUGCAGACUCCUCUCAUGGCUCAGGAUGGGUGGAGUUCAGUUGGGAAAAGCGCAUUCUUUUUUUUUUUUUAAUUUUUAAAAAUGUUUUAUUUUAUUUUU